AUUGAACGCUGGCGGCAGGCCUAACACAUGCAAGUCGAGCGGAUGAGAAGAGCUUGCUCUUCGAUUCAGCGGCGGACGGGUGAGUAAUGCCUAGGAAUCUGCCUGGUAGUGGGGGACGACGUUUCGAAAGGAACGCUAAUACCGCAUACGUCCUACGGGAGAAAGCAGGGGACCUUCGGGCCUUGCGCUAUCAGAUGAGCCUAGGUCGGAUUAGCUAGUUGGUGAGGUAAUGGCUCACCAAGGCGACAAUCCGUAACUGGUCUGAGAGGAUGAUCAGUCACACUGGAACUGAGACACGGUCCAGACUCCUACGGGAGGCAGCAGUGGGAAAUAUUGGACAAUGGGCGAAAGCCUGAUCCAGCCAUGCCGCGUGUGUGAAGAAGGUCUUCGGAUUGUAAAGCACUUUAAGUUGGGAGGAAGGGCAGUAAGUUAAUACCUUGCUGUUUUGACGUUACCGACAGAAUAAGCACCGGCUAACUCUGUGCCAGCCGCCGCCGUAAGAC
rnacentral:rRNA from 1 species